rnacentral:rRNA from 1 species
AACGAACGCUGGCGGCAUGCCUAACACAUGCAAGUCGAACGAGACCUUCGGGUCUAGUGGCGCACGGGUGCGUAACGCGUGGGAACCUGCCCUUAGGUUCGGAAUAACUCCCCGAAAGGGGUGCUAAUACCGGAUAAUGUCUUCGGACCAAAGAUUUAUCGCCUUUGGAUGGGCCCGCGUUGGAUUAGCUAGUUGGUAGGGUAAAAGCCUACCAAGGCGACGAUCCAUAGCUGGUCUGAGAGGAUGAUCAGCCACACUGGGACUGAGACACGGCCCAGACUCCUACGGGAAGCAGCAGUGGGGAAUAUUGGACAAGGGGCGAAAGCCUGAUACAGCAAUGCCGCGUGAGUGAUGAAGGCCUUAGGGUUGUAAAGCUCUUUUACCCGGGAUGAUAAUGACAGUACCGGGAGAAUAAGCGCCGGCUAACUCCGUG